AUUGAACGCUGGCGGCAUGCUUUACACAUGCAAGUCGAACGGUAACAGGCCGCAAGGUGCUGACGAGUGGCGAACGGGUGAGUAAUGCAUCGGAACGUGCCCAGUCGUGGGGGAUAACGCAGCGAAAGUUGCGCUAAUACCGCAUACGAUCUAUGGAUGAAAGCGGGGGACCGUAAGGCCUUGCGCUCACGGAGCGGCCGAUGGCAGAUUAGGUAGUUGGUGGGAUAAAAGCUUACCAAGCCGACGAUCUGUAGCUGGUCUGAGAGGACGACCAGCCACACUGGGACUGAGACACGGCCCAGAGUCCUACGGGAGGCAGCAGUGGGGAAUUUUGGACAAUUGGCGCAAGCCUGAUCCGGCCAUGCCGCGUGCAGGAUGAAGGCCUUCGGGUUGUAAACUGCUUUUGUACGGAACGAAAAGACUCUGGUUAAUACCUGGGGUCCAUGACGGUACCGUAAGAAUAAGCACCGGCUAACUACGUGCCAGCCGCCGCCGUAAGAC
rnacentral:rRNA from 1 species